GAACGAAAUGGUUUCUUGCCCCUCUUGAUAAUUUACACGCAUGGCACAUUCAUCGGACCCUCACACACACAUUGUUUCCGGGUAAGAUCAAACGCAGCAGCAGCCUCUCACAGGCUGGGCGUCCUCUCGGCGGCGCCGGAGAUGACGGUGAGCAGGUUGUUGCCGAAGGGGUCGCUGAGGUGCUUGGCGAGGUUCUCGACGGGGCCCUCGCCGGUGACGUACGCCUGGAUGAAGAAGGCGAACAUGGAGAACAUGGCGAGCCGGCCGUUCUUGAUCUCCUUCACCUUGAGGAUGGCGGCCUGGUCGGGGUCGCUGGCCAGACCCAAUGGGUCGAACGGGCCGCCCGGGUGGAGCUUGUCCUCCAGGUCCAGCCCGUUGAUGAUCCGGUAGUACUCGGCGCCGCCGACGAGGACGACCUCGGCGAUGACGGCAACCACCAGGUUGAUGGGGAUGCUGUUGCCGAAGUAGCUGAGGGUGUUGCCGUCCAGGAGCAGGGCGCCGGUCUGCAUUGUAUUACGGUGGCGCCGCCAUUAGUUCACAGUUCAGAAUUUCAGUUUCAGAGAUUGCAAUUGCAACUAUUCUACCACUGAAAUGUGUGGUCUUUGUGAAACAAUGUUGAGUUCUUUUCUUUUUUCAUAAAUUCAAAUGCGCGCGAUUGUCCGGCACAUUUGGGGAAGAGAUUGCUACUCAAGUAUGAAGAUUCUUAGAGGUGGUGAUCAGGACCUUGAACCAGACGGCCUCAGGGCCACAGUUGGCGCCGAACUUGUUGCAGGCUUCGGGGAUGACGGCACCGGCGGCGCCGAGCAUGGCCCACCUGGCGUGGAUCAGCUCGUAGGCCUGGUACCUGCAGGGUGAUGGUGUGUGAGGUUAGAAUCUCGAAGUUCAUCAGUGUGCAGGCGAUUUGUUAGGGACAGAGAUAUUCGACUCACUUGGCGAAGUCCUCUGGCUUCUUGCCGAGGCCAAAAGGGUCGUAGCCAUAGCUGCAAGUAGGGCAAGAUAGUUCAGUACAGAUGCACUCACUAAGAUUUUCUGCAGCAUUUCAUUUGAACCAAAGGUAGAAACAAUGACAGACUAAAUAGAAGAAGACUACAGCUUAUAUGUGUGAGAAAAUUAGUCAUAUCUUCAAUUUAAAAUGCUGGUUUGAAUGCUUGAGAUGUCUGUGCUUUCGGAAUGAAUUUGACAAAUAGCAAAGCUGCGCCAUUUGGCUAGAAAAAUCUGAAUUUCACCACCAAACUACUUCUUUUCACAUUUUUUUCCAUUUUCUUCUAGAACAUGAUAUGAUGUCUAUUUUUCCAAACCAACAAGGGAGUACUUAGCCUUAUUUCAACCAAACUACCAACUGAAAUCUAAAUUUUCUGAAACCAAUGUAACUCCAUGGGGAGCAAAUUAGAGUCAUGUGACUUACUCUCCAGGGACCUCUCCGGUGAGGUACUCCGGCACCUCCGAGCGGUCCAAGAGACCAUCCGGCAGGUAGAUCCUCCUGUCAGGGCCUAUCAAGACAGGAACAAAAAAAAAAAAGGAGACAAUCACUACACAAGAAGCUUCUGAAAAUUUUCAUGCCAAAAAUUUUCAUUCCUAGAAGUCGAGGAAUCUCAGCAGUCAGGUACCGGUCUACUCACCGUACCACUUGGCGAGCUCGUCGCUGAUGUCCGGGGAUGAGGACGUUACCGCGGCGGGCUUCGGCUUCUGGGCAGGCUUCUUGCUGAAGAGAGAGACGAUCUUCUGCGCUCCGGCGGUCGGCGCAGCGGUGGCGUACCGUGAGGAGCCGGCGAAGUUGAUCUGGGUGCCGAGGAUCUUCGAUGGAGCGAGCGCCGCCAUUGCCACAGACCCACAGUUCAGAGGAAGAAUUGCAGGAGGGGGAUGGCUGAUGGGCGUUUGUGGA
rnacentral:lncRNA from 1 species